ACCACCUCUCACCCGACAUCCACAGCAACGCGGCCGAACACCAAAAACCUAGCGAGGCAAAACGCUGCCGCGACCACCAAACGCCCUUCAAAACCCGCCCGCUAAAACUUGCUUCAACGCGAAUCAUCGAUGCGGACACCAUGUACCAAGUCGUCCGAGCAAACCAAAAGCUGUCCGAAUACUUUCGCAAGCUGAGCGGCGGAAUUGUACAAAAUAACCUCAACCUGCUCAAUCAGCGCAUUCGGCAAGUCAUGCCCAAACUGGCCGACGUCAAAAACCUAGAAAAUGCAUCCCAAAGACUCGAACAAAACACACUGAUGAUCGACAACUCGAUUGACGUGCUAAAAACAACUGCGAAAUUAUCGCAAACGUUCGAAAACAUAAAUAACGCAUCAGAUAAAAUUCUGUACCUCACUAAAAACAUAACUUAUUCGCGAUAAAAAAUUUUCAUGUCACCGAAUACUCCAACGCCCUCUUCCUUUCAUAAAAGAUGAACGUGUAGUCUUCAAACUGCGCCUUCGUAUCACCAUUCGAGCUGUACUGCCUCAAAUGAAAAAAAAAGAAACGCAACCAAAAACCUGUCAGUGCGUCGAUUUUUUUACAGCUUCAUCCUCCAACAGAGAAACCUCCAUUUCAGGGACUUAUGUUCCCCUUGAGAGCCUCAAUGAGUUUCGGAACGAUUUCAAACAGGUCGCCCACAAGCGCAUAGUCGCUGACCUGGAAAAUGGGCGCCUCCUCAUCGCUGUUGAUCGCUACAAUAACCUUGCUUCCCUUCAUGCCUGCCAGAUGCUGAAUGGCACCUGAUAUUCCGACGGCGAUGUACAAAUCAGGAGCUACGAUCUUACCCGUCUGACCCACUUGGAGAUCAUUCGGCACAAAUCCGGAAUCGACCGCAGCUCGCGAGGCCCCCACUGCCGCUUUGUUUCCAAACACGUCAGCUAGGUCAUAGAUGAGCUUAAACUGAUCUUUUCCGACAAGUCCGCGGCCGCCCGAUACGACGAUUUUUGCCGAAGAGAGAUCUGCACGUUCGGUAGAGAGAGUCUCAACUGACUCCCAGCCGCUGUAACUGCACUCUUCCGCGCCGUAAUCGUCUACCAGCUCCUCGAUAGGGCAGCCAGACUCGCUCGUUCCACAAUCCUCGAACGAAGUCGGACGAACUGUAAAAAGCUUUACCGCAUCGUGAGCUUGAACAGUGACCAAAACGUUGCCAGCGUAGAUAGGACGAAGGAAGGUGUCGUGGCUCAAGACACUCAUCACCUCACUGACAGGCUGAACAUCCAAAAGAGCACCAAGGCGGGGAACGAAGUUCUUGCUGAAAUUCGAAGAAGCCGCAAGAACGUGACUGUAGGGAUUUUUUUUCACAUGACCCUCUAAAAAUUUGGCAAGCGGCUCGGGCAAAUGAUGCCGAUACAGCGGAGAGUCGCGAACUAAAACUCGAUCGACACCCUCCAACUUCUGAGCUUGCUCGCAGGCAGCUCGACAAGAAGUUCCAGCCACCAGUAAAUCUAUGCCAUCUGAAGGAGAGAGAAGCGUGGCCACCUUGACCGCCUUGUGAGUGUUAGAAGCAAGCUUCAGGUGGCUGUGUUCAGCGACCACAAGAACACGCUUGGCAUUUUGAAGGCUUGCACUGGUGUGCAAACUGCGGUACAAACCACGUCGGCCUCCGCUACCUAAAGAAAUAAUAGACUAAAGUAUACGCGUUAUUAUACUCUGCGGCGAACGAUCUCUCCAAUACGCGGGCGAUAUCAAAACGGCGCUAGAGGUGGGAUGUACAUACGCGAACGGAAUGCCUAGCAAACAUGAAGAGAACUACACAGAGUGCCCUGUCAUGAUUUUUUUUUUUUUUUCGGAUUAAAAAAAGAAAAAAAAAAAAGAAAUCUCCCAUCGCCAUUGUCAAGCACUCUCUUCAGAGCACCAAACACGUAGUAAACCGCGGCAACAUGGCUAUAGGAAAAAACAAAAAGAAACCAAAAAAAACCGCCAAGUCCAAGAGAGCGUUCGACAUCAUGUCCAAAAAGGAAUGGUACUACAUCCGAGCGCCAUCCCUUUUUGCUGGUGGAACCUCCGGUGCUCCCCCCGGCAUCAUUGGCCGCACGUUCGUCAAUAAGAGUGUCGGCGGGAAGCUUGCCAGCGACAUGCUCUUGAACCGAGUCUAUUCUGUUUCGCUUGCCGAUCUCAAUAAAGAUCAUAGCGAAGAUCAAGGCUUCCGAAUCAUCAAACUCAUCACCGACAAAGUCGUCAAUGAUACUUGCCUGACAAACUUCUACGGUAUGACGCUCACAACCGACCGUGUCAAAUCCCUCGUUCGUAAGUGGCAAACCCUCAUAGAGGCAUCCGUCGAAGUCAAGACAACCGAUGGUAACAUCGUGCGUCUCUUCGCACUCACGUUCACGAAACGUCGCCCGGGCCAAGUCAAGAAGACGUGCUACGCUAAGUCCAGCCACGUCAAGACUAUUCGACACAAGAUCAGGGAAAUCAUAGUGCGUGAGGCUAGCGGCUGCAAUCUGAAGCAGCUGUUUGAGAAGCUGUGCUAUGACGUUAUCGGCAAGAAUAUCGAACGCGAGGCUUCAAGAAUUUACCCUCUUCAAAACACCUGUAUCAGAAAAGCCAAGAUCAUCCAUCGCGCGAAGACAGAUCUGUCUCGCCUGGCCGAAAUUCAUAGCGGAUUUUCCCAAAGCAGCGCUCCAGUAGUAACCGAGGACGUCGGCACCCCCAUUGUCCAGAUGGCCUAAAUAAAAAAACAAAAUAAGUUCUCGAAACAAAACGCGUAAUGUCAAUGAAGAGGUACAACCCGAAAUUCGCCAAAGACAGAGAACCAUAAAGCACAGCAGUCGCCGGGUCGAAGAGACCAAAAAAAAAAUUGAUGCUUUUUUUUUCGUAUAUGCGCGAGCAGAGAGAUAUACACAGUUAGGAAAUUGCCGACUUAAGGGUUCAUUGCCUCUUCGGUCUGCUCCAAUUUAUCUCCCUCCGCACC